rnacentral:rRNA from 1 species
AUUGAACGCUGGCGGCAUGCUUUACACAUGCAAGUCGAACGGUAACAGGCCGCAAGGUGCUGACGAGUGGCGAACGGGUGAGUAAUGCAUCGGAACGUGCCCAGUCGUGGGGGAUAACUACUCGCAAGAGUAGCUAAUACCGCAUACGAUCUAUGGAUGAAAGCGGGGGACCGUAAGGCCUCGCGCGAUUGGAGCGGCCGAUGUCAGAUUAGGUAGUUGGUGGGGUAAAGGCUCACCAAGCCAACGAUCUGUAGCUGGUCUGAGAGGACGACCAGCCACACUGGGACUGAGACACGGCCCAGACUCCUACGGGAGGCAGCAGUGGGGAAUUUUGGACAAUGGGCGCAAGCCUGAUCCAGCAAUGCCGCGUGCAGAAAGAAGGCCUUCGGGUUGUAAACUGCUUUUGUACGGAACGAAACGGCUCUGGUUAAUACCCGGGGCUAAUGACGGUACCGGAAGAAUAAGCACCGGCUAACUACGUG